rnacentral:rRNA from 1 species
CGCAGCCGCGGUAAUUCCAGCUCCAAUAGCGUAUAUUAAAGUUGUUGCAGUUAAAAAGCUCGUAGUUGAAUUUCGGGAUCAGUAUGUUGGUCGUGCUUCGGUACGUACUGUCAUUACUGGUUUCUACCUUCUGAAGAACCUUGAUGUCAUUAAUUUGGUGUCUUGGGGAAUCAGGACUGUUACUUUGAAAAAAUUAGAGUGUUUAAAGCAAGCAUACGCUUGAAUACAUUAGCAUGGAAUAAUGAAAUAGGACGUUUGAUUCUAUUUUGUUGGUUUCUAGGAUCGACGUAAUGAUUAAUAGGGAUAGUUGGGGGCAUUAGUAUUCAAUUGUCAGAGGUGAAAUUCUUGGAUUUAUUGAAGACUAACUACUGCGAAAGCAUUUGCCAAGGAUGUUUUCAUUAAUCAAGAACGAAAGUUAGGGGAUCGAAGACGAUCAGAUACCGUCGUAGUCUUAACCAUAAACUAUGCCGACUAGGGAUCGGAUGAUGUUAUUUUAAUGACUCAUUCGGCGCCUUACGGG